CCGGAGGAAGGUGGGGACGACGUCAAGUCAUCAUGGCCCUUACGGGUAGGGCUACACACGUGCUACAAUGGCACGUACAAAGGGUUGCAAUCCUGCGAAGGUGAGCCAAUCACAUAAAGUGUGUCUCAGUCCGGAUUGGAGUCUGCAACUCGACUCCAUGAAGUCGGAAUCGCUAGUAAUCGUGGAUCAGAAUGACGCGGUGAAUACGUUCCCGGGCCUUGUACACACCGCCCGUCACACCAUGGGAGUGGAUUGCUCCAGAAGUGGAUAGUCUAACCUUCGGGAGGACGAUCACCAUCC
rnacentral:rRNA from 1 species